GAUGAAGAACGUAGCGAAAUGCGAUAAGUAAUGUGAAUUGCAGAAUUCAGUGAAUCAUCGAAUCUUUGAACGCACAUUGCGCCCAUCAGUAUUCUGUUGGGCAUGCCUGUCCGAGCGUCAUUUCAACCCUCAGGGCCCGUUCGCGGGAACUGGUGUUGGGGAUCGGCCUCCCCCCGGAGGCCGGCCCCGAAAUGCAGUGGCGGCUCUACCGCGAUCUCCUCUGUGUAGUAGCGAUACCUCGCAGCUGGAUAGUGGUGGUGCCACGCCGUAAAAUCCCAACUUUACCAAGGUUGGCCUCGGAUCAGGUAGGAAUACCCGCUGAACUUAAGCAUAUCAAUAAGCGGAGGA
rnacentral:misc_RNA from 1 species